rnacentral:rRNA from 1 species
CCUGAAGCAGCAACGCCGCGGUGGGGGAUGACGGCCUUCGGGUUGUAAACCUCUUUCCCGGGGACGAUAAUGACGGGUACCCGGGGAAUAAGUCACGGCUAACUACGUGC